AGUGAACGCUGGCGGUAGGCCUAACACAUGCAAGUCGAACGGCAGCACAGUAAGAGCUUGCUCUUACGGGUGGCGAGUGGCGGACGGGUGAGGAAUACAUCUGAAUCUACUUUUUCGUGGGGGAUAACGUAGGGAAACUUACGCUAAUACCGCAUACGACCUACGGGUGAAAGCAGGGGAUCAUCGGACCUUGCGCGAUUGAAUGAGCCGAUGUCGGAUUAGCUAGUUGGCGGGGUAAAGGCCCACCAAGGCGACGAUCCGUAGCUGGUCUGAGAGGAUGAUCAGCCACACUGGAACUGAGACACGGUCCAGACUCCUACGGGAGGCAGCAGUGGGGAAUAUUGGACAAUGGGCGCAAGCCUGAUCCAGCCAUACCGCGUGGGUGAAGAAGGCCUUCGGGUUGUAAAGCCCUUUUGUUGGGAAAGAAAAGCAGCAGGUUAAUACCCCGCUGUUCUGACGGUACCCAAAGAAUAAGCACCGGCUAACUUCGUG
rnacentral:rRNA from 1 species